rnacentral:rRNA from 1 species
UACGAAGGGGGCUAGCGUUGCUCGGAAUCACUGGGCGUAAAGGGUGCGUAGGCGGGUCUUAAGUCAGGGGUGAAAUCCUGGAGCUCAACUCCAGAACUGCCUUUGAUACUGAGGAUCUUGAGUUCGGGAGAGGUGAGUGGAACUGCGAGUGUAGAGGUGAAAUUCGUAGAUAUUCGCAAGAACACCAGUGGCGAAGGCGGCUCACUGGCCCGAUACUGACGCUGAGGCACGAAAGCGUGGGGAGCAACAGGG